rnacentral:rRNA from 1 species
UACAGAGGUGGCAAGCGUUGUUCGGAAUUACUGGGCGUAAAGAGCGCGCAGGCGGUCGUGCAAGUCGCGUGUGAAAGCCCCCGGCUCAACUGGGGAGGGUCACGCGAUACUGCUCGACUCGAAGGCAGGAGAGGGAAGUGGAAUUCCCGGUGUAGUGGUGAAAUGCGUAGAUAUCGGGAGGAACACCAGUGGCGAAGGCGACUUCCUGGCCUGUUCUUGACGCUGAGGCGCGAAAGCUAGGGUAGCAAACGGG